rnacentral:lncRNA from 1 species
UUCCAAAUAGACCCCCGGCAUCCUUCCCUCCAAGAACUUCCCACCUUGCUCUUGGGGAGACUCGAACUCACAACCUCUCGGUCGGAAGUGGGGGUUGCAUACCAUCAGAGCAACCCCUCUUGUCAAACAUGCAACAUUGCAAUUACAUUAAAUAAAUAAGAGUAGCUUUUAUAAUUCGGCAAAAAUAAAGAAGAAAUAAAUAAAUCUUACCCAUUGCCCACAUGCCUGAUGAUCAACCUAUGGUAAUGAUCAUAACGCACAUCAUCCGCAUCAUUAUCCGGAUCAUCUGAAGCAUGUGCAGAAGUGGGGGCAUCUGACUCAGUGCUACUAUCCUGAACACGAUGUCUAGAAAUGCUAGGAGAUGAACUCUGUGGAGAGGGAGACAGGGUCUCAAAUGAAGAUGGUUGUGAUCCACAUCCCUGCACCGAUCUUAGACCCAUGCUGCGAUCCAGACCCCUGCUGCGAUCCGGCCGUCUGAAAUCUAGAUGGAUGCGAUCCUGCCGGAGAUGAAGCAAAUGGAGCAGAUGACAGGCGUAUCUCAUGUCUAUGUGACUAAUGACUUGAUGCACCCAUGUAAUUAUUGGUAGGAUCAUUAGGAGGAAGCGGGGUAUAGCCUAGUGGCGGAGAAUUGAACAUGGCUAUGUGACUGGUGACUUGAUGCACCCAUGUAACUAUUGGCAGGAUCAUUAAGAGGAAGCGGGGUAUAGCCCUGUGGCGGAGAAUUGUGAUAAUACUGCUGGACCGGCGAGGUAGUAUAAUGAAUAGAUGG